rnacentral:rRNA from 1 species
GAUGAACGCUGGCGGCGUGCCUAAUACAUGCAAGUCGAGCGAACAGACGAGGAGCUUGCUCCUCUUACGUUAGCGGCGGACGGGUGAGUAACACGUGGAUAACCUACCUAUAAGACUGGGAUAACUUCGGGAAACCGGAGCUAAUACCGGAUAAUAUAUUGAACCGCAUGGUUCAAUAGUGAAAGACGGUUUUGCUGUCACUUAUAGAUGGAUCCGCGCCGCAUUAGCUAGUUGGUAAGGUAACGGCUUACCAAGGCAACGAUGCGUAGCCGACCUGAGAGGGUGACCGGCCACACUGGAACUGAGACACGGUCCAGAAUCCUAGGGGAGGCAGCAGUAGGGAAUCCUCCGAAAUGGGCGAAAGACUGACGGAGCAAAGCCGCGUGAGUGAUGAAGGUCUACGGACCGUAAAACUCUGUGAUUAGGGAAGAACAAAUGUGUAAGUAACUAUGCACGUCUUGACGGUACCUAAUGAGAAAGCCACGGCUAGAUACGUG